rnacentral:rRNA from 1 species
AUUGAACGCUGGCGGCAGGCCUAACACAUGCAAGUCGAGCGAGUGGCGGACGGGGGAGUAAUGCUUGGGAAUCUCGAUUAUGGAGGGGGAUAACUACGGGACACUGUAGCUAAUACCGCGUAACAUAGGAAGAGCCCACGUGGUUGUAGGUAGUUGGUGGGGUAAAGGCUCACCAAGCCGACGACCUCUAGCUGGUCGGAGAGGAGGACCAGCCACACUGGGACUGAGACACGGCCCAGACUCCGACGGGAGGCAGCAGUGGGGAAUAUUGCGCAAUGGGGGCAACCUGAGGCAGCCAUGCCGCGUGAAUGAAGAAGGCCUUCGGGUUGUAAAGUUCUUUCGGUAGCGAGGCGUUAACGACAGAAGAAGCACCGGCUAACUCCGUGCCAGCAGCCGCGGUAAUUC